rnacentral:sRNA from 1 species
AGUUUUUGAAAAUAUAUUGGCGUGACCUUCUUUUCCAUCAAAUAAAGGCCUUUUUUUUUGUCUUGUGUUA